rnacentral:tRNA from 1 species
CGGUCACGUCGCCGGUGGUGGUGAUGCGGCCGAUGGUGUUGGCCUGGUUGCGGGUGAACCAGAGGGCGCCGUCCGGGCCGGCGGUGAUCGC